UAGUGAACAAGCUGCACUGCAGGCACCUUGCCAGUCAAUCCCAGGCUGCGCAGGCUCAGGAACUGCAAGCUAGAUUAUCCAACCUUUAUGUUGAUGAGCACUUACCCACGUGAGUAAUUCUAUUGAACUCAAUGGGAGGUAGAUGCCUAGGUGCUUUUGAAAAUCACUAAAUAUCUUUAAAAAUUGAGGCCAAAGAUACUACUUAGUGCAAGUAAGUGAGUUCAGUAGGUGUUAGCUAGUGAGGCCCCAAUCCUGGAUGUCCUGGGUGGUGCACUAUACAGGCGUAUGUUCAUCUGCACAGUG
rnacentral:lncRNA from 1 species